rnacentral:rRNA from 1 species
GACGAACGCUGGCGACGUGCUUUAGGCAUGCAAGUCGAACGCGAAAGCCCCUUCGGGGGUGAGUAGAGUGGCGAACGGGUGAGUAACACGUGGGUAACCUGCCCCUCGCAGGGGGAUAACCGGGGGAAACCCCGGCUAAUACCCCGUACGCUUGCUGGGGCGCAUGCUCCGGCAAGGAAAGGUAGCUUCGGCCAUCCGGCGAGGGAGGGGCCCGCGGCCCAUUAGCUAGUUGGCGGGGUAACGGCCCACCAAGGCGACGAUGGGUAGCUGGCCUGAGAGGGUGGUCAGCCACACUGGGACUGAGACACGGCCCAGACUCCUACGGGAGGCAGCAGCCAGGAAUCUUGCGCAAUGGGCGAAAGCCUGACGCAGCAACGCCGCGUGGGCGAUGAAGGCCUUCGGGUCGUAAAGCCCUGUUGUCGGGGACGAAGGGCGAAGGGUUAAUAGCCCCUAGCCUGACGGUACCCGACGAGGAAGCCCCGGCUAACUACGUG